rnacentral:rRNA from 1 species
CCUACGGGAGGCAGCAGUGAGGAAUAUUGGUCAAUGGCCGUAAGUCUGAACCAGCCAAGUAGCGUGAGGGAAGACUGCCCUAUGGGUUGUAAACCUCUUUUAUGCGGGGAUAAAGGUGUCCACGUGUAGAUGUUUGCAGGUACCGCAUGAAUAAGGACCGGCUAAUUCCGUGCCAGCAGCCGCGGUAAUACGGAAGGUCCGGGCGUUAUCCGGAUUUAUUGGGUUUAAAGGGAGCGUAGGCGGGGCUUUAAGCUUGCCGUGAAAUUUUGUGGCUCAACCAUGAGAGUGCGGCUCGAACUGGAGACCUUGAGUGCGCGGAAGGCAGGCGGAAUUCGUGGUGUAGCGGUGAAAUGCUUAGAUAUCAUGAAGAACCCCGAUUGCGAAGGCAGCCUGCCGCAGCGUGACUGACGCUGAAGCUCGAAAGCGCGGGUAUCGAACAGGAUUAGAUACCCGGGUAGUC